rnacentral:rRNA from 1 species
AUUGAACGCUGGCGGAAUGCUUUACACAUGCAAGUCGAACGGCAGCACGGGGCAACCUGGUGGCGAGUGGCGAACGGGUGAGUAAUACAUCGGAACGUGCCCAAUCGUGGGGGAUAACGUAGCGAAAGUUACGCUAAUACCGCAUACGAUCUGCGGAUGAAAGCGGGGGAUCGCAAGAACUCGCGCGAAUGGAGCGGCCGAUGUCAGAUUAGGGAGUUGGUGGGGUAAAGGCUCACCAAGCCAACGAUCUGUAGCCAGUCUGAGAGGACGACCAGCAACCCGGGGACUGGGACACGGCCCAGACUCCUACGGGAGGCAGCAGUGGGGAAUUUGUGACAAUGGUCGCAAGCCGGGUCCAGCCAUUCCGCGUGCAGGAUGAAGGCCUUCGGGUUGUAAACUGCUUUUGUACGGAACGAAACGGUUCUCUCUAAUACAGGAGGCUAAUGACGGUACCGUAAGAAUAAGCACCGGCUAACUACGUGCCAGCAGCCGCAGUAAUAC